rnacentral:rRNA from 1 species
UACGUAGGGUGCAGGCGUUUAAUCGGAAUUACUGGGCGUAAAGCGUGCGCAGGCGGUUUGCUAAGAGAGAUGGUGAAAUCCCCGGGCUUAACCUGGGAACUGCGUUUCUAACUGGCAGGCUUGAGUGUGGCAGAGGGGGGGUGGAAUUCCACGUGUAGCAGUGAAAUGCGUAGAGAUGUGGAGGAACACCGAUGGCGAAGGCAGCCCCCUGGGCUAACACUGACGCUCAUGCACGAAAGCGUGGGGAGCAAACAGG